AACGAACGCUGGCGGCAUGCCUAACACAUGCAAGUCGAACGAGACCUUCGGGUCUAGUUGCGCACGGGUGCGUAACGCGUGGGAACCUGCCCUUAGGUUCGGAAUACCUCCCCGUAGGGGGUGCUAAUGCCGGAUAAUGUCUUCGGACCAAGGAUUUAUCGCCUUUGGGUGGGCCCGCGUUGGAUUAGCUAGUUGGUAGGGUAAAAGCCUACCAAGGCGACGCUCCAUAGCUGGUCUGAGAGGAUGAUCAGCCACACUGGGACUGAGACACGGCGCAGACUCCUACGCGAGGGAGCAGUGGGGAAUAUUGGACAAUGGGCGAAAUCCUGAUCCAGCAAUGCCGCGUGAGUGAUGAAGGCCUUAGGGUAGUAAAGCUCUUUUACCCGGGACGAUAAUGACAGUACCGGGAGAAUAAGCACCGGCUAACUCCGUG
rnacentral:rRNA from 1 species